AGAAGGAACGAUGAGUUUGAUCGUGGCUCAGAUUGAACGCUGGCGGCAGGCCUAACACAUGCAAGUCGAGCGGAAACGAGUUAACUGAACCUUCGGGGAACGUUAACGGCGUCGAGCGGCGGACGGGUGAGUAAUGCCUGGGAAAUUGCCCUGAUGUGGGGGAUAACCAUUGGAAACGAUGGCUAAUACCGCAUAAUAGCUUCGGCUCAAAGAGGGGGACCUUCGGGCCUCUCGCGUCAGGAUAUGCCCAGGUGGGAUUAGCUAGUUGGUGAGGUAAGGGCUCACCAAGGCGACGAUCCCUAGCUGGUCUGAGAGGAUGAUCAGCCACACUGGAACUGAGACACGGUCCAGACUCCUACGGGAGGCAGCAGUGGGGAAUAUUGCACAAUGGGCGCAAGCCUGAUGCAGCCAUGCCGCGUGUAUGAAGAAGGCCUUCGGGUUGUAAAGUACUUUCAGCAGUGAGGAAGGUGGU
rnacentral:rRNA from 1 species